GAUGAACGCUGGCGGCGUGCCUAAUACAUGCAAGUCGAGCGAACGGACGAGAAGCUUGCUUCUCUGAUGUUAGCGGCGGACGGGUGAGUAACACGUGGAUAACCUACCUAUAAGACUGGGAUAACUUAGGGAAACCGGAGCUAAUACCGGAUAAUAUUUUGAAACGCAUGGUUCAAAAGUGAAAGACGGUCUUGCUGUCACUUAUAGAUGGAUCCGAGCUGCAUUAGCUAGUUGGUAAGGUAACGGCUUACCAAGGCAACGAUGCAUAGCCGACCUGAGAGGAUGAUCAGCCACACUGGAACUGAGACACGGUCCAGACUCCUACGGGAGGCAGCAGUAGGGAAUCUUCCGCAACGGGCGAAAGCCUGACGGAGCAACGCCGCGUGAGUGAUGAAGGUCUUCGGAUCGUAAAACUCUGUUAUUAGGGAAGAACAUAUGUGUAAGUAACUGUGCACAUCUUGACGGUACCUAAUCAGAAAGCCACGGCUAACUACGUG
rnacentral:rRNA from 1 species